CUCUCAGCCAGGCGGAUUGAAGGAUGGAAUUCCAACGAGGCUCCCCCGCCUCGUCCCACCUUGGCUGAAGGUGAUGUGGCCGCCCUCAACCGACGCAUCCAGCUCGUUGAGGAGGAGUUGGACAGGGCUCAGGAACGACUGGCCACGGCCCUGCAGAAGCUGGAGGAGGCAGAAAAAGCUGCAGAUGAGAGUGAGAGGCUGAGACCCGUGCUGAAUUUGCAGAGAGAACGGUUGCAAAACUGGAAAAGACAAUUGAUGACCUGGAAG
rnacentral:lncRNA from 1 species